rnacentral:rRNA from 1 species
ACCUGCGGAAGGAUCAUUACAGUAUAUCGUUUUAAAGGGGGCGUGCACGUGUCCUAUGCCCUCCGUCCCCCCGGGGGGACGGACGGAAAGGCGUUUUGCGCCUUCUAUAAUCCCUAUAUAUAUAUACACCCCUGUGCACCUAUUGGGGGGAAGCGUUCUCGGGCUCGACUCNUCGGGCCGAGGCGGGUUCUCCCUACUACACCUUACACACACACACGUCNUCCUGUCUGUUUGGGCUCUACGGAGCGUUAAUGUAACAACUUUCAACAACGGAUCUCUUGGCUUUCGCAUCGAUGAANGACGCCGCGAAAGUGCGAAACNUAAUGUGAAUUGCAUAAUUCANUGAAUCAUCGAAUCUUUGAACGCAUCUUGCGCUCCNUGGUAUUCCGAGGAGCAUGCCUGUUUGAGUGUCNUGAACACCCUCAACCCUCCUUUCCCUUUGACCGGGGAGAAAAAGGUUGGAUUUNGACGCCUGCGACGGGCCCUCGUGCCUUUUGCUCGUCUUUAAAUGCAUCAACUGGUCCCUUGGAGUCAGUUCGGCAAACGGCGUGAUAUAACGAAAC